GCUAGCGACAGGCCUAACACAUGCAAGUCGAGGGGUAGCAUGAAAGUAGCAAUACUUUUGAUGACGACCGGCGCACGGGUGAGUAACGCGUAUGCAACCUACCUACUACAGGGGAAUAGCCCGAAGAAAUUCGGAUUAAUGCCGCAUAAUACAGGGGCACCGCAUGGUGAUAUUUGUUAAAGAUUAAUUGGUAGUAGAUGGGCAUGCGUUCCAUUAGCCAGUUGGUGAGGUAACGGCUCACCAAAGCAACGAUGGAUAGGGGAACUGAGAGGUUUAUCCCCCACACUGGUACUGAGACACGGACCAGACUCCUACGGGAGGCAGCAGUGAGGAAUAUUGGUCAAUGGGCGAGAGCCUGAACCAGCCAAGUCGCGUGAAGGAUGACUGCCCUAUGGGUUGUAAACUUCUUUUGUACUGGGGUAAAAAAGAGGACGUGUCCUUUCUUGCAAGUACAGUACGAAUAAGCAUCGGCUAACUCCGUGCCAGCAGCCGCGGUAAUACGGAGGAUGCGAGCGUUAUCCGGAUUUAUUGGGUUUAAAGGGUGCGUAGGCGGGGAUUUAAGUCAGCGGUGAAAGUUUGAGGCUCAACCCUU
rnacentral:rRNA from 1 species